GAUGAAGAACGCAGUGAAAUGCGAUAAUUAAUGUGAAUUGCAGAAUUCAGUGAAUCAUCGAAUCUUUGAACGCACAUUGCGCCCUUUGGUAUUCCUUAGGGCAUGCCUGUUCGAGCGUCAUUUGAAACCUCAAGCUCAGCUUGGUGUUGGGUGUCUGUCCCCGCCUCACCGCGGGGACUCGCCUCAAAAUCAUUGGCGGCCGGUACGUUGGCUUCGAGCGCAGCAGAAACGCGAACUCGAGGCCCGGCGGAUCGGCGACCAGAAGUCACUUCUUCACAGUUUGACCUCGGAUCAGGUAGGGAUACCCGCUGAACUUAAGCAUAUCAAUAAGCGGAGGA
rnacentral:misc_RNA from 1 species